rnacentral:piRNA from 2 species
GCGCUCGGGCUGGACCAGCAGGUG